rnacentral:rRNA from 1 species
ACGAACGCUGGCGGCGUGCCUAAUACAUGCAAGUCGAACGCUUCUUUUUCCACCGGAGCUUGCUCCACCGGAAAAAGAGGAGUGGCGAACGGGUGAGUAACACGUGGGUAACCUGCCCAUCAGAAGGGGAUAACACUUGGAAACAGGUGCUAAUACCGUAUAACAAUCGAAACCGCAUGGUUUUGAUUUGAAAGGCGCUUUCGGGUGUCGCUGAUGGAUGGACCCGCGGUGCAUUAGCUAGUUGGUGAGGUAACGGCUCACCAAGGCGACGAUGCAUAGCCGACCUGAGAGGGUGAUCGGCCACAUUGGGACUGAGACACGGCCCAAACUCCUACGGGAGGCAGCAGUAGGGAAUCUUCGGCAAUGGACGAAAGUCUGACCGAGCAACGCCGCGUGAGUGAAGAAGGUUUUCGGAUCGUAAAACUCUGUUGUUAGAGAAGAACAAGGAUGAGAGUAACUGUUCAUCCCUUGACGGUAUCUAACCAGAAAGCCACGGCUAACUACGUGCCAGCAGCCGCGGUAAUACGUAGGUGGCAAGCGUUGUCCGGAUUUAUUGGGCGUAAAGCGAGCGCAGGCGGUUUCUUAAGUCUGAUGUGAAAGCCCCCGGCUCAACCGGGGAGGGUCAUUGGAAACUGGGAGACUUGAGUGCAGAAGAGGAGAGUGGAAUUCCAUGUGUAGCGGUGAAAUGCGUAGAUAUAUGGAGGAACACCAGUGGCGAAGGCGGCUCUCUGGUCUGUAACUGACGCUGAGGCUCGAAAGCGUGGGGAGCAAACAGGAUUAGAUACCCUGGUAGUCCACGCCGUAAACGAUGAGUGCUAAGUGUUGGAGGGUUUCCGCCCUUCAGUGCUGCAGCUAACGCAUUAAGCACUCCGCCUGGGGAGUACGACCGCAAGGUUGAAACUCAAAGGAAUUGACGGGGGCCCGCACAAGCAGCGGAGCAUGUGGCUUAAUUCGAAGCAACGCGAAGAACCUUACCAGGUCUUGACAUCCUUUGACCACUCUAGAGAUAGAGCUUCCCCUUCGGGGGCAAAGUGACAGGUGGUGCAUGGUUGUCGUCAGCUCGUGUCGUGAGAUGUUGGGUUAAGUCCCGCAACGAGCGCAACCCUUAUUGUUAGUUGCCAUCAUUUAGUUGGGCACUCUAGCAAGACUGCCGGUGACAAACCGGAGGAAGGUGGGGAUGACGUCAAAUCAUCAUGCCCCUUAUGACCUGGGCUACACACGUGCUACAAUGGGAAGUACAACGAGUCGCAAAGUCGCGAGGCUAAGCUAAUCUCUUAAAGCUUCUCUCAGUUCGGAUUGUAGGCUGCAACUCGCCUACAUGAAGCCGGAAUCGCUAGUAAUCGCGGAUCAGCACGCCGCGGUGAAUACGUUCCCGGGCCUUGUACACACCGCCCGUCACACCACGAGAGUUUGUAACACCCGAAGUCGGUGAGGUAACCUUUUGGAGCCAGCCGCCUAAGGUGGGAUAGAUGAUUGGGGUG